rnacentral:rRNA from 1 species
GGGUAAUGACCCAAACCUAUAUGGCCCCUGGGUUGGACUGCGGCCGAUCAGGCUGUUGGUGAGGUAAUGGCCCACCAAACCUGUAACCGGUACGGGCUCUGAGAGGAGGAGCCCGGAGAUGGGCACUGAGACAAGGGCCCAGGCCCUAUGGGGCGCAGCAGGCGCGAAACCUCUGCAAUAGGCGAAAGCUUGACAGGGUUACUCUGAGUGAUCUCCGUUAAGGAGAUCUUUUGGCACCUCUAAAAAUGGUGCAGAAUAAGGGGUGGGCAAGUCUGGUGUCAGCCGCCGCGGUAAUACCAGCACCCCGAGUGGUCGGGACGUUUAUUGGGCCUAAAGCAUCCGUAGCCGGUUCCACAAGUCUUCCGUUAAAUCCACCUGCUCAACAGAUGGGCUGCGGAAGAUACUAUGGAGCUAGGAGGCGGGAGAGGCAAGCGGUACUCGAUGGGUAGGGGUAAAAUCCGUUGAUCCAGUGAAGACCACCAGUGGCGAAGGCGGCUUGCCAGAACGCGCUCGACGGUGAGGGAUGAAAGCUGGGGGAGCAAACCGGAUUAGAUACCCGGGUAGUCCCAGCUGUAAACGAUGCAGACUCGGUGAUGAGUUGGCUUUAUGCCAACCCAGUGCCGCAGGGAAGCCGUUAAGUUUGCCGCCUGGGGAGUACGGUCGCAAGACUGAAACUUAAAGGAAUUGGCGGGGGAGCACCACAAGGGGUGAAGCCUGCGGUUCAAUUGGAGUCAACGCCGGAAACCUUACCGGGGGCGACAGCAGAAUGAAGGUCAAGCUGAAGACUUUACCAGACAAGCUGAGAGGAGGUGCACGGCCGUCGCCAGCUCGUGCCGUGAGGUGUCCUGUUAAGUCAGGUAACGAGCGAGACCCCUGCUUCUAGUUGCUACCAUUAUUCUCAGGAGUAGUGGAGCUAAUUAGAGGGACUGCCGUCGCUGAGACGGAGGAAGGAGGGGGCUACGGCAGGUCAGUAUGCCCCGAAACCCUCGGUACACACGCG